CUCAUAGUUUACCAUCGCUGGAAUGCCUGGUAAGCGAAAGGUCCGCCGCCUUAGGAUGGGUCUGCGGCCGAUUAGGUAGUUGUUGGGGUAACGGCCCAACAAGCCUGUAAUCGGUACGGGUUGUGGGAGCAAGAGCCCGGAGAUGGAUUCUGAGACACGAAUCCAGGCCCUACGGGGCGCAGCAGGCGCGAAAACUUUACAAUGCAGGCAACUGUGAUAAGGGAACCCCGAGUGCCCGUAUGGACGGGCUGUUCAGGUGCUUAAAAACCACCUGGAGAAAGGGCCGGGCAAGACCGGUGCCAGCCGCCGCGGUAAUACCGGCGGCUCGAGUGGUGGCCACUAUUACUGGGCUUAAAGCGUCCGUAGCUUGGUCGUUAAGCCUCUGGGGAAAUCUUCCGGCUUAACCGGAAGGCGUCUCAGGGGAACUGGCGACCUAGGGAUCGGGAGAGGUGAGAGGUACUCUGGGGGUAGGAGUGAAAUCCUGUAAUCCUCAGGGGACCACCUGUGGCGAAGGCGUCUCACCAGAACGACUCCGACAGUGAGGGACGAAAGCUGGGGGAGCAAACCGGAUUAGAUACCCGGGUAGUCCCAGCCGUAAACGAUGCGCGUUAGGUGUAUCGGUGACCACGAGUUACCGAGGUGCCGAAGGGAAACCGUGAAACGCGCCGCCUGGGAAGUACGGUCGCAAGGCUGAAACUUAAAGGAAUUGGCGGGGGAGCACCACAACGGGUGGAGCCUGC
rnacentral:rRNA from 1 species